CCCUUAGAUGUUCUGGGCCGCACGCGCGCUACACUGACGGAGGCAGCGAGCGUGUCCUUCGCCGGCAGGUGCGGGCAAUCUUGCGAGUCUCCGUCGUGCUGGGGAUAGAUGGUUGCAAUUGUCGAUCUUGAACGAGGAAUUCCUAGUAAGCGCGAGUCAUCAGCUCGCGCUGAUUACGUCCCUGCCCCUUGUACACACCGCCCGUCGCUACUACAGAGUGCCCGUGUCCAAGAAACGGUCGGACCUGUGCGGCCUCUCCGGGCGACCGGAGGGCCGUUACGGGGAAGACCCUUUAUUUGACGCGGGUCGAUGAAGUAAAAGUCGUAACA
rnacentral:rRNA from 1 species